GGGCACAUGAGAACCAUGAGGGAACUGACAGAAGAGAAGAAUAAAAUAGGAUCCAUUGUUACAGAAGAAAUAGCUCAAUGCUGCAGACUCAAGAGUGCAUGACAUGACAGAGGCUAUGCAUCUGCCCCAGCAGGAAGGCAGUGAAAACAGCUUUACUGCUCACUGUGAAAGAGACUGGAUCUGAUUAGUCUUGUACAGUCAGAGAUACUGGAGAUCGAACUCGGGUCCUUGGCGCUUGUGCAGCAGGCGGUGAAACCACUGCGCUAAAUCCACGGCCCCUCAUGUUUUCAUAUAAAGUGAUCACAAGUUCAUCCCCUUGUUGAAGAAAUAGUAAAUUUUCUGGGGAUAUAAAUGGAUGUGUCUCCUACACAAAUUAGAUCUUUUGAGAACCCAUGGAACCUAGUCAAGGCACAUUUAUCAAACUUCGAUUUUGAAGACAGCUCUAAGGAUGAUAGGAGGUUAGAUACCUGGAAGGCCACUUUAUAGAUAAGGAGUAAUAAAGACUGAUUCACCUCUCAUUCAUUCUGAUGUCUUGGGAAGAGAGAACCAACAAGGAAAAAAAUCCUUUGGAACACCACAUCAUCCCACAGGGAAAUUAUGUGCUCCGAGUUGGAAUAACAAGAGAGAAAUGUGCCUAAUGAGAAGAUAUUUAAAGCUGUAAACAUCUCCUUUGUUGUUAUCCAUUAGUGUAUGCAACAGUCAUCCGGAUGGGACUUGGUUUGUUAUUUUGAAUUCCUGCAUCUGGUUGGGAACAGAUGCUUGUCCAAUUCUUUCUGUCUUGUCUGGCAGCACAGUUUCAGUCCCCAUCUUCAUCUAUCCAGCAAGGAAUUUGAACUUAUAUACAGAGACCUUCCAGUGAGAAAACCCAUCCAAGUGAGUGCAACAGCCCAGCAGGUGCUAUAAGGCAGUUGCUUAAUG
ensembl:lncRNA